GCCCUUGCGCACGACGGAGGACCGCCCAUGGUCUGUGGGUCGGAUGUCUGGCGGUCACACCCGCCGGGAAGAUCUUCUGGCGGAAACAGAAUCUGCUCAUUUCGGGAAAGGCUGAUUGCGCGGUUACGUGCAGCGUGUGUUGAGGAGUGGCUCUGGAAACUUAAAGAGCCCGACGAUCAAGUGAUCUUGCCAACUACCGUUUUAAUCAGCAUGUUUUAUUUUGUUGUGGUACAGGCUCAGAGCCCAAUGCAAGCCCUGGCAGAUGUCUUCAACACCAGAGUGACACUCAGCCUGAAGGCCAGGAUUGAAGACUGGAAGUACAGGGGCAAGAAAUACCUUUGAAAAUACUCCAGUGUCCAAACUGCUCACUGGUGUUGCUGCCUUGUGAGCCAGGGCACGAGGCUUUGUUGAGGUCACUACUUUUCAUUCCCUCCAAGAUGGACAAGAUGUUUGUUUUGUGCACAGUAAGUGGAACACAGGGCCUCCGGCAUGGUGCUUAUAUGUUCUCUUCAGAAACUAAGGAAUGGAGCAGUGUCUUGAACGUGCUACACAAGCCCCCUAACAGCCAAGCGAAUCCAGCAGCUCUACAGACAUCCUUUCACUGAGCAGUUAUUUCUCCUCCGAUGUUCUGAUCGCUGUGGGCAGCCUCCAAACACUUUUUGAAAAAGCUGGAGAGAAAGGCGAGCUUGAAAAGGGGAAUGCAGGAUAGAGGCAAAGGGAGAGAAGCAGGCUCAACUGUGUUCAUCUCAACAGGGCUGGGGCCUGCAGGCUGCUGGCAGCACCAAGCUAAGGUGCAUUUCCACUCAACAGAAAGGCCUCCAUCCUAAACCAAGGGGGCAGAGGUUAAUGCUUUAUAUAUAUUUAUAUAUUUAUAUAUUACAUAUGUCCUAGAUAUACAUAUGUCCCAUAUGUAUAGAGUGACAAGAAUGGGCCACUUUGUGUAACUUUAAUUAAAGGCCAUAGCAACAGACAUAGAAAUUUGAUCCUAAUUAAGGCCCGUACUUUGUCAAUCAAAUGUGUGAUACAGUAAAAGAUAAAGGAGAGAGACAGAGACUGAGAUCCAGCCACCUCCAGGAGUCCUGUCUCCAGGGUAUCUUACAUUGAGUGUAGUGCCCCCUGUACAGGUGAACAUAAACACACACAUAAACACACACAUAUAAUACCACAGGCAGGAGCACCUCUUCUGACCACACCUUGGGCCCAGCCUUUGGCUGCGGUGCUGAAGUGGGGUGUAUUGUGCUAUAAGACUGGGAGGGUAGUGGACCAGACAAUGUGGAGUCAGUGUGUCCAAGUGAUGAAUGGGGUGACUCAUGCAGGUUCAUCUACAAAUGACAGAGAGCUCAGGGGGAGGUCCCUCAAUGCCCAGUUCACAUCAGGAGAUUUCUACACACAGCUCCUGUUCCAGAGAAAGCCAUUCCUCUGAUUUGAAUCCUGAGUGUCAAUCACAGGGUUCUGACAGAAACCUGGGAUCCCUUUGAAGGGCAGGCAGCCGCAAGGCUCGGCCAUUCAGUCCAGUGGAGCAGUAGAGAGCACAACAGUGGAGUCAAAGCAAAUGAUGCUCAGACAGGACCUUGAAUGGUGCAAGAGGGGCUCAUUUCCCAAAAGGACAAGAAGGACUGCUGCCCUUUGCCACACAGAACUUCUGGCAGGUCUGUCAGCUUCACGUCUUACAUAAGUAACAGACCUGCUCAUAAGCCAGGGAAGGAGAUGCCCAACAUUAGGGCCCUGGAAAUCCUAACUCCGUUUUCUCUCCCCGAAUUUACCCACUACCACCCACCAAAAUAUGCAUAUUGAAAAUAAGUCAACAUAUUUGGCAGUAUGAUUUUUAGUACUAAGAGAAUUUCUUAAUUUUUCAACCUAAUUUUACACUCAAUAAAUAAUAAUUAA
rnacentral:lncRNA from 1 species